GNNNCCUAAUACAUGCAGUCGAACGAGCUCUCCCAAAUUGAUUUUAUGCUUGCAUAAAUGAUUUUUGGAUUCCGAACCAGGGGCGAACUGGUGAGUAACACGUGGGUAACCUGGCCCCAAGGGGGGGAUUACAUUUGGAAACCAGUGGUAAUACCGCAUAAUUUGUUGGAACCCCAUGGGUCCCACUUGAAAGAAGGGUCUGCUAUCACUUUGGGAUGGACCCCCGCCCUAUUAAUUAGUUGGGGAGAUAAAAGCCCACCAAGACGAUGAUUCCUAACCCAACUGAAAGGGUAAUCGGCCACCUUGGGACUGAAACACGGCCCAAACUCCUACCGGAGGGAGCAGUAGGGAAUCUUCCACAAUGGACGAAAGUCUGAUGGAACAACCCCCCGUGGGUGAUGAAAGGUUUCGGAACCUAAAACUCUGGUGGUAAAGAAAAACAAGUGGUAAAAUAACUGGUAACACUUUGACGGGAUUUAACCCGAAAGCCACGGCUAACUACCUGCCAACAGCCGCGGUAAUACCUAAGUGGCAAGCGUUGUCCGGAUUUAUUGGGCGUAAAGCGAGCGCAAGCGGUUUUGUAAGUCUGCUGUGGAAGCCCUCAACUUAACUGAAGAAGUGCAGUGGAAACUACCAAACUUGAGUACAGAAGAAGAAAGGGAACUCCAUGUGUAGCGUGAAAUGCGUAGAUAUAUGGAAGAACACCAGUGGCGAAGGCGCUUUCUGGUCUGGUACUGACGCUGAGCUCGAAAGCAUGGGUAGCGAACAAGAUUAGAUACCCUGGGUAGUCCCAU
rnacentral:rRNA from 2 species